CAGGCGAUGUUUUAGCAAAGAUAUUAACGGUAGCUAGCAAGCAGGCUAUCAAAGGGAUGUUGGCUAGCUGAUGAGAUCAAAUGGCUGACAAACGUGGUUUGGAGAAACUGGACUUUUGUGCAUUAAGCAUCGAGCAACAGCAGCAACUCCGACAAUUUAAGAGAUGUAUUUCUCAAAAGACCCACAGACAUUCGAGAGUAUGCAGCAGAUGACUUCACCGACCCAAACCUUGGUUUGAUCAUUGGCUCCAAACUGCAGGGCGAUCCUGCCGAGACAGGCACAGACUGAAUCCUUACCGGAUUGUUUGGCAGUUCAACUGUUAUUGAAGUGUAAAGCUGUAACAGACCUCUUUCUCUGUGUUCUGUACAUCCUCUGUAUUGACUAGUUAUGUGUCAAAGUAACAUGAUAGAAAUAUAAAACAUGAUAUAAAGUGGGAAUGUACUGGCAGAUGUUCUCACUGAGCAUCAUUACAACAGGUUAGUUACAGGGCUAAAGGAGGAUGUUUAUACCGCUGGUUGAGAGGAAAAUAUACAUUUCUAGGCCUAUAGGGUGGAGUGGACAGCCUCUUUACAGGAGUUAUCAGGGGAAUGUCUAGAUGGGAUCAUUGGGGUGUCCCAACUCUGACGUUAAUCCAUCGAAUUUGAAAUAGAAAACGGUGAAGGAUACCGGAUGUCCCAAGGAUUCCGGAUAGCACUAACCUUUUUCUCAAGCCUCAAGAGUUCCCCCUUCUGGACUCUUAUGUACUUCCAUUAACUCAUCAGAUGAAUCAAAAAACGUUAAGCAAGAUGAGGCAAUACUGACCAUAACUUUAGAAUGAUCUGACCACACUGGAUACACAGUUCAAAUGUUUAAUGAAUUAAAAAUCA